rnacentral:rRNA from 1 species
CCUACGGGGGGCAGCAGUGGGGAAUAUUGGACAAUGGGGGCAACCCUGAUCCAGCCAUGCCGCGUGUGUGAAGAAGGCCCUCGGGUUGUAAAGCACUUUCAGUGAGGAAGAACGCCUGGUGGUUAAUACCCAUCAGGAAAGACAUCACUCACAGAAGAAGCACCGACUAACUCCGUGCCAGCAGCCGCGGUAAUACGGAGGGUGCGAGCGUUAAUCGGAAUUACUGGGCGUAAAGCGCGCGUAGGUGGCUUGAUAAGCCGGUUGUGAAAGCCCCGGGCUCAACCUGGGAACGGCAUCCGGAACUGUCAAGCUAGAGUGCAGGAGAGGAAGGUAGAAUUCCCGGUGUAGCGGUGAAAUGCGUAGAGAUCGGGAGGAAUACCAGUGGCGAAGGCGGCCUUCUGGACUGACACUGACACUGAGGUGCGAAAGCGUGGGUAGCAAACAGGAUUAGAUACCCCGGUAGUC